CAAAUUUAUUUGGGCUUUUUAUAAUGUCUUAAUUAGUAUUCUUGUUAAUUCAUUCUAAAUUAUGCUAUAAUAAAGCAUAGCACUAAAGUUAGAAAGAAGGUGUAAGU
rnacentral:sRNA from 1 species